UUCAAUCCCUGUGGGACCAACGCAGCUCCCCAGGUCGAACCGGCCUUCACAAACCUAAAGUGGAACCGCCAGGAAAACUACUGACAACCGGCCACACCACCCAGGCAGAGAACCAGAAAGAGGCUCACCAAACACAGGCCGACAUGCAAGAAACCACCCUCCAGCACACAGGGCACAUUCGUCCCAAACACACAUGCACACGGGCACACACAGAGAAAGAGAGACCGAGACAGAGAGACAAGGAGAGAAAGGGAGACACACAAACACACACAGACAUAAAGCAGUGGCACGGAAACAGUCACCCCCAGGCAGCCCCUGAGGCUGCUAGGUUCUGCUCUCCGUGAGGACGUCUCUCAGGUAAGAGAGUAGCCCACGGGUCCACAGUCGGGCCUGUCCUUGAGAUCACAGGGGGCACGACUUGUGAGGAGACUCACUGGACACCGUCCGGGAAGGCCUGAAGCUGGGAUGGUGCGCUGCUUCCCCAUGACUC
rnacentral:lncRNA from 1 species